UAAAAUUCAGCUCACAUGUGGCUUGACAUUGGAGUGAAAUGAAAUAUGGAGUUCCAAAUAUGGCUUCUACAUACUCAAAUCCAUUAGUUUAGUUUUAGUUUUUAUGGUCUUGAAGUUAAUUGAUGCAUUGUAUGUUCAACAUGAUAGUUAUUAGUCAGUUUGCAGCUGGUAUGAAGUUAGUGAAGCACUUGUAGUUAAAUUUUGCUUGCUUUUGAGAUUCUUACUGCUAUAGUUGGCUUCAGACUGUUAAGAAAUGGGAGUUGAUGAGAAUAAUG
rnacentral:lncRNA from 1 species